ensembl:lncRNA
GACCAGAGCAGACGGCUAGUCUGAGCUAGCGGUAAAUAACUUUACAAUUACACUGUUAUUAUAUAUAUCUAGGCUAUAAGACGAGAUUUUAACGGAUUUAAGUUGUCGAACAGAUAACUUAAAACAUCAGUGACUGUGUUCUGGGACAGUUUAAUGAGUUUAAAGAACGUGAGUAGCCUGCCUCUUGACGCCUAGCCUGGGCGCCAUAUUAGCUCGUAGUGCUCGAGCCAGAGGCAGUCACCAUCGUCCUCGGUGCACACGGGAUGUUUAAAACUUUGCUGAGUUGCCGAGACAGGAGGAUUCCUUUACCUUUCGUUUGGAUAAGACGGAUGGAGAGAAAGCAGUGACGCAAGCGCGAACAGGUCGACACAAGGAGCGGGACUCUCCACUCUCCCAAUUUUCCAUUGCCUCAAGGGAGCGGGUCCUCUUCCACAGAGUCUGCCAUGUUGCACCGCCAUGUUUCUACAGUAGCCCUGAACGGACAAACCACUGGCUUGAGGUUCAGGGGAGGCUAUUUCUAUAGGCUUUGGACAACAAUGUGAAUGUCCUUGAGUAGCCCAGCCAGAGCCCUGACUUGAACUCAAUCAUACAUCUCUGGAGAGACCUGAAAAUGGCUGUCCACCCCCGUCCACCCCGUCCAACCUGACCUGAGCUUGAGAGGAUCUGCAGAGAAGAAUGACUGGUGUGCAAAGCUUGUCAAGUCAUACCCAAGACUCGAGGCUCAAGGCUGUAAUCGCUGCCAAACUUGCUUCAACUUCAACUUCAACAAGUAUUGUUUGGGUCUGAGCUGGGUUCACCAAUAACGGUGUCUCUUAGCGUUGAAAGAUACCUUAUGUACCUUAAAAAAAUAAGAAAGCCUUGGUGAAC